UUCGACGUGGGGGAGGGGAGAAAGAAGGGGGGGAAGAGGGGGAAACACGGUUUCUUCUCCUGCUGCUCUCCCCUCACGACGAAGGCAAGCCUCCCCACCCGCUUUCAAGAACGCACCAUGAACCGAAAGAAUGGGACAGAAAACCUCCCACCCCCGCUCGGUUCCUGAGCUUGCAGUUCCAAUUUGAGGCAGACAACCAAACGCACUUCCAGGACAAACUGAACAUGUAGCUGAAGUUCCCCUGUCAAGAAUCACAAGGCUUCAGGGUGAGUGGUGAAGAAGCAUUCCGGGGAGCCUUCCUAGACUGCGUCCGGACUGCCCGUGUGGGGCUGCCAUCCUAUCCACAACGGGCGCUGUGUCAGACUCUGGUGUGUUUUCAAGUCCGAUUCGGAGGAGAACCUUCCUGAGCAGGAUCUGUCUGGGGAGGAUGAAGCCGAUGACCUUACAGGGGAACCAGGAGUAAAGACAGGAGAACCUGAUACGGAGUAGCAGCCAACCACUCCCGAAGCAGCUGCACGAGAAAAAGAAAGGGAAAGAAAGUUCUAGCCCUUGUAGAAGCGGAGUUAUGGAGCAAAACGUGCAGGCACUCUUCUGCUCAGAAAUUAUUUUCAAGCCAAUUUAUGGAAUACACAAAUUUGGAAAGCCGGAAUAUGGCAACCCUACGAAUGCACAGCAGCCACAGGAAAUCCUGGCUGGUGAAAGCGGAAAGGAAAGAAAGGAAGGAAGAUAGAAAGACAGAUAGAUAGAACGAUCGAUCGAUUGAUCCUGGCUGGUACCCCUGAAGGACACACGAGUGCUCACAUUGACAUGCUCUGGUGCACACCUCUGAAACGUAGCACACGGAGCAGCUCUGAAGUGUCGGGAAAGACGCCACAUGCAGAGCCGACUUUGUGGAUCGUGUCCAGCAGGCAGGGCUGAGGUGGGCUCUUGGAGGAAAGGAGACGAGGAGAACCCGGUCCCUUUUCCUUGGAGCUGCCAAGCUGCACACACUGCCCUGAUCUGUCAAGCCAAACCGAGGACGGGAGCGUCGGAUCGAUACGCACCCAGUCGGUGAUUCAUCUGUCUGUCCCAGCACCAGUCCUGGAGGGAAACGUCUUCCAUCUCCUCCAGAUUGUUGGGCCAAAUUUGAAAAUGAAGAAAAGAGAACAAAAAUCUGUACCACUGGCAGGGAAAACAGUUCCCACUUUGCAGGCUGGAGAGGUAACCAUCAAGGCAUCAGAUAUAUGUAUAUAAAUCUCAGAAUCAGGCCUUGGCUCUUGUGACCAGCCACCACCACAAUCUCUGCUGAGAGCAGAGGCAGCCUGCAUCAUCUCUUGGAGCUGCACAGGAAUCGCCUCGGGGAGGCAAGGACCCAACCCAACCACACUCUCACAGCAUGGCCAAAGUCUGCCAUUCCCGAAGAACGGAUAGGCGUCAUUUCAAAUAGGAUCGUGCGAGGCUGAAUCUUCCGUCCAAAUGCUUCUGCCAUAUAAGAGCCUCGUCACUGAAGUUCUCGAAGAACUCAGGUGGUUUUGAAGGUUACAGAAUUCUCAAAGUACCUCUUGAUGAACACAAGAAGAAUCUCCUUGGUCGGUUGAUUUUCUUCUCCAAAUAACCCAUCAGCAAGGAAAGGUCCAGAAACAAAAAUGGGUUCAGUUCAUAAGGAUGGGGAAAUACUGAUGCCCCACCCCCAAUUUGUAUGGUUUUGUUGUUGUUGCUGUUGUUUGUUUAAGUGGGCCUCCUAGAAUUGUUGAUGCUGGCAGUUUGAAGCUUCCCAUCAAAUCUUCCUGAAGUGAAGGGAAGAGGGUGUACGAUUGCUUCCUUUAAUAAAUACAAUAUUGAGUGUC